AGCAGCCGCGGUAAUUCCAGCUCCAAUAGCGUAUAUUAAAGUUGUUGCAGUUAAAAAGCUCGUAGUUGAAUUUCGGGAUCAAUAUGUUGGUCGUGCCUUGGUACGUACUGGCAUUAUCGAUUCCUACCUUCUGAAGAAUCUCAAUGUCAUUAAUUUGGUGUCUUGGGGAAUCAGGACUGUUACUUUGAAAAAUUAGAGUGUUUAAAGCAGGCUCGCGCUUGAAUACAUUAGCAUGGAAUAAUGAAAUAGGACGUUUGAUUCUAUUUUGUUGGUUUCUAGGAUUGACGUAAUGAUUAAUAGGGAUAGUUGGGGGCAUUAGUAUUCAAUUGUCAGAGGUGAAAUUCUUGGAUUUAUUGAAGACUAACUACUGCGAAAGCAUUUGCCAAGGAUGUUUUCAUUAAUCAAGAACGAAAGUUAGGGGA
rnacentral:rRNA from 1 species